rnacentral:rRNA from 1 species
AUUGAACGCUGGCGGCAGGCUUAACACAUGCAAGUCGAACGAUGAUUAUCUAGCUUGCUAGAUAUGAUUAGUGGCGGACGGGUGAGUAACAUUUAGGAAUCUGCCUAGUAGUGGGGGAUAGCUCGGGGAAACUCGAAUUAAUACCGCAUACGACCUACGGGUGAAAGGGGGCGCAAGCUCUUGCUAUUAGAUGAGCCUAAAUCAGAUUAGCUAGUUGGUGGGGUAAAGGCCCACCAAGGCGACGAUCUGUAACUGGUCUGAGAGGAUGAUCAGUCACACCGGAACUGAGACACGGUCCGGACUCCUACGGGAGGCAGCAGUGGGGAAUAUUGGACAAUGGGGGCAACCAUGAUCCAGCCAUGCCGCGUGUGUGAAGAAGGCCUUUUGGUUGUAAAGCACUUUAAGCACGGAGGAGAGGCUAAUGGCUAAUACCCAUUAGAUUAGACGUUACCUGCAGAAUAAGCUCCGGCUAACUCUGUGCCAGCAGCCGCGGAAAUACAGAGGGUGCGAGCGUUUCAUCGGAAUUACUGGGCGUAAAGCGAGUCUAGUGGCUCAUUAAGUCACAUGUGAGAUCCCCGGGCUUAACCUGGGAACUGCAUGUGAUACUGGUGGUGCUAGAAUAUGUGAGAGGGAAGUAGAAUUCCAGGUGUAGCGGUGAAAUGCGUAGAGAUCUGGAGGAAUACCGAUGGCGAAGGCAGCUUCCUGGCAUAAUAUUGACACUGAGAUUCGAAAGCGUGGGUAGCAAACAGGAUUAGAUACCCUGGUAGUCCACGCCGUAAACGAUGUCUACUAGCCGUUGGGGUCCUUGAGACUUUAGUGGCGCAGUUAACGCGAUAAGUAGACCGCCUGGGGAGUACGGCCGCAAGGUUAAAACUCAAAUGAAUUGACGGGGGCCCGCACAAGCGGUGGAGCAUGUGGUUUAAUUCGAUGCAACGCGAAGAACCUUACCUGGUCUUGACAUAGUGAGAAUCCUGCAGAGAUGCGGGAGUGCCUUCGGGAAUUCACAUACAGGUGCUGCAUGGCUGUCGUCAGCUCGUGUCGUGAGAUGUUGGGUUAAGUCCCGCAACGAGCGCAACCCUUUUCCUUAUUUGCCAGCGGGUUAAGCCGGGAACUUUAAGGAUACUGCCAGUGACAAACUGGAGGAAGGCGGGGACGACGUCUAGUCCUCAUGGCCCUUACGACCAGGGUUUCACACGUGCUACAAUGGUAGGUACAGAGGGUUGCUACACAGCGAUGUGAGGCUAAUCUCCAAAAAGCCUAUCGUAGUCCCGGAUUGGAGGCUGCGACUUGACUCUUUGAAGUCCGCAAUCUCUAGUCAUCGGCACAUCACACUGCUUGCGGAGAAUACCUUCCCGGGGCCU